GUUUUAAUAAUUUAAAUAAAAUAUUGGUCUUGUAAACCAAAAAUAAAUAACUUUUUAAAACC
rnacentral:tRNA from 1 species